AACGGUUCAAUUAUAUAAACACAUAACGAGAAUUUUCUUACAAAAGGUUCCAUCAAAACCCUAGAUAACAAAUUAGCUAUUCAUAAUAGUAUGCAAAACUACAAUACUAGAAUUCAUAACCAAUAAUGAAAAUAGGAAGAAGGAAGUGAAAAACUCGUAGAAGAAUUCUCCUCCUUGUUCCUAGCGUGUUUUUGCCUCCUUGAGUCGAAUCCUCUCUCUAAAAACGUCCACCGUCUCUAAAAAAUAACUUUAACAGGUAUUUAUAAGGUAGGGUUAACAUGUCCACGUCCAAAACUAAGGAGGAAAUAAAAUUGGCUCGGAUAGCAUCGUCGGCGCGAGGCACUGUCUGGGGCACCAAUAUUUCUACGCGAGGCACUGCCUGGUCUACCAAUAUUUCUGCGCCAAUGUUUCUGUGCUAGGCACUGUCUGGGGUGCCAAUGACAGUGCCCUGGACAAUGCCUUGCACUGUCUAUGGCCAUGACUUUUCAUUGCCUUGCACGUCUUCUUUUAUUGCUUCAUUUUGUAGCUCUAAGGUACCAUUUCGUGUAACUUUUUUUCAAUUCAUGUCCAAAUAUUCCUACACGUGUAAUAAGCUCUAUUAAGCACAAUUGUCGCACAAAUUAGCAUCCAAACAACAAGCAAGUAGGGUAAAUAAUGUCAAAAUAUAUGGAUUUAUAGCACGAAAUCACUAAUAGAACUGGUGAUAUGAGUCUAAUCACUAUGAAUUCUAAUUCUUACAUUUGAAAAAAUGUUUGUAAGGCUGACUAUUUGUGCAAAGUUGGAACAGCCUAGAAUAUUGGCACGAGAGAGACUAUAAAUCUUUGGUACGGUCGUUCAAUUCUAGAGAUACCAAUCUUCGAACACUUAUCCAGGGUCCUUUGAAUAGGUUGAAAGACCAAAAAUCCCUUAUCUAUCAUCUUCCAACAUAAUUCUUGGUAUUUUUCUAGCAUUUCUUUUAUCUUACCCUACGAAAUCAUUCAACGAAUCCAUAAUACCCACAUACAACUUCUAUGCCGAUAAAACUUUUUCGGGAUCCUUGUGCUGAUGGGUCUUUUACUAUCCAAUCGGCGUAUGCACUUUACCUCUCCCUUAGUGAAAGUAUUAGUGAUUCCUAUCCAUCAAAAUUGCAACUAGGCAUGAACUGUCUGAAUCUUGAAUAAGAUCAAGUAUUUUUUUUGGCUUCUUUAUGCUAAUAAGCUUGAUCAUACACGAGAAAUUUAAAAAGAGGACAGUCUGGUGCACAAAAUAUUCCGCAGUCAUGUAGGAUCCGUGAAAGGACCGCACCUCAAGGGGAGUAAUAGGCAGCCUACUUUGACGCAAGUAUUAAUGACUAAUUCUACUGCUCGACUUCUGACCUAUAGGUCAUACGGAGAUAACUUUAUCAUAAAUUCUCUUUGCUAGAAAUAUUAUAUCAACUAGUAAUUGCGCUCUUUGUUCUGCCCCUGUUGAGACACUUCAACAUCUCUUUAUUGAAAGCACGUUUAAUGCUCACAUAUGAACAUCCUUAAAUAUUCUCAAUGUUCACAAUUUUGGCCCUGCUAUAUAUCAAGGAAGCCUGCUCAAAGUUUAGCACCGUACCGAUUUCACCAUGAUAAUGGGCUAUUCCCUUCCCACUAAUAUACCCCUCCCGAUUGUUCUUUGGAGCAUCUGGAUUAAUCUAAAUAGAAAUGUUUUUAACAGUACCUCAACCUUCGUCUUCAUCAACGUAUCGUCGUGUAGGUUGCUAAAGUCUUCUUCCUCGCAAAUGUUGUCACCUUUUCUCCUUGGACCAUCACCAUCCAUGUUAAUUGGCAAUUGCCUUAGGAUGAUGUUGUUAAGCUUAACGUAGAUGGUGCGCAUAACAAUAUUACUGGAAAAGGAGGAAUAGGGGAAGUGUUUAGAGCCGUAUAGCUAGUUGGUGUUGGAAAAAAUAAUAUCCCGCACAAGAAUAAUAUCCACGAUAAAUAAUAAUGACACAAGAGAGUAACAAUGACACUAAAUCUUUUAACGGAGUAAAAUACAAUACCCGAGAGGAGCAAUAUAAUACCACUAUAAUAUUACAACUUUGUAGUGUCAAAAGACUACUACGACUCAAAAGAAAUAAACUCUUUAUUUUAAAUAUCUCACCACAAUAUUACUCUCACUCUAUUUUCUCACGGACUAUAAAAUAGUUUGUGGAUUACUCUCACAACUCUAAUACUUCUCUCUUAUUUUUGGUGUGUUUUCA
rnacentral:lncRNA from 1 species